rnacentral:rRNA from 1 species
AGCAGCCGCGGUAAUUCCAGCUCCAAUAGCGUAUAUUAAAGUUGUUGCAGUUAAAAAGCUCGUAGUUGAACUUCGGGAUCAAUGGAUCGGUCAUGCCAUCGGUAUGUACUGGUCUCAUUGGUUCUCACCUUCUAAGGAACCAUAAUGUCAUUCAUUUGAUGUUUUGGGGAAUUAGGACUGUUACCUUGAAAAAUUAGAGUGUUUAAAGCAGGCUAACGCUUGAAUACAUUAGCAUGGAAUAAUGAAAUAGGACAUCGCAUUCUAUUUUGUUGGUUUCUAGGAUCGAUGUAAUGAUUAAUAGGGAUAGUUGGGGCAUUAGUAUUCAAUUGUCAGAGGUGAAAUUCUU